GGGGGGGGGUCUGAUCCCUGAUCCCGCUUACUGCUUUAUCAGAUUCCCGUAUCCCGCUUAUACUAUGCAGUUCUCAUUUUUUUAAAUUUUCCGUGUCCCGCUAUACUUUAUUUCUCGUUUUCACGACACAAUCAUUUGACUAUCACGUGUCACGCUUACAAAAAAAUCGGCAAUUCCGCGUCACGCUUAUACCCCAACGCGACCCACUAUUCUACUCUUUUCUGACUCAUAUUAAGCCCAUUAUAAAUAUAUUAAAAAAGUGUGUUUUUUAUCCCUUUUUAUCCCGUCUCGUUUCG
rnacentral:lncRNA from 1 species